CCUGGCGUUCUUGCGGGGAAUCACGGCCCGGUCGUCGCCGGCGCCGUCUUGGGUCCACCUGUGUCGCCGACUCGCCAUCGUCUGCACCGCCUUGCAGGUCUGACCGUCAGAGGUGUCCUUCCUCCCUUCCUCCCUGCUCCAGGGAUCUUGCCGUUGCUGGUGGCGCCCAUGUUCAACUGCGUGAACAAGGAUGAUACUGGAUGCGAAUAGUUUCAAAAAAAAAAGAUGAUACUGGAUGUGACUACUUCUCAUCUUGUGCUUUGAAUUCGUAAUUAGAGAUCAUGAAUUUCGAUUCGAUACCUGCAUUGCAUCACGACCAAAACUAUGGUGUUUAUGGAUCAGAAGAUCCCCGAAGCCAAAUGUGCUUGCAGGUGUAGUUUCUGUGGAUCUGGAACGUACCUAAUAUACUCACCUUCGGUGCAUAUUUGCGAGCCAUAUUGCACGAAUUCAUUAGCUGGAUAGUUUUUGAUUCACUAUGAAGCGUGGAUAAGGCUACUAGACGUGCAGACAUGCCUCAGCUAUGCAGAUGCCCAAAAAAUUUUGUACUAUUGUACGAAGUCAAAUAUUGACAAUUCCCUGCAUCAUGGGUCUCGUUUGUUGGUCAUCUAAGUCUUAUAUAAUCAAUCAAUCAAUCAAACUAUUGAAUGUAGCUUAUAGGAUAUGGUGGACCUAGACAGAUAUUUUGUUUUGGUGACAUCAAGUCAUUUGGAUCAAUUAUUUUAAUGCAUUCAAUUUCAUAAGAUGCUUUCUUUUCAUCAAACAAGAAUAAAACCAUUUGAUUUAUUGUGUAUAGCUGUAUUAACAGUUUCAUUGUCAGUAGUUAUGAACUUGCAUAUCUUUCCUUUUCAGAUGCUGAUCUAUUUGUUUCUUUUGUAUCUUUGUUAUUUAAUAAGCUUUCAGUCUCUUUUUCUUUUCUCUCUCGAACAUGCUGGUGAGCUGCGUGUCUUUGUAUUAAGAGGAAAGAUGUAAGUUUCAGUCUCACAUCAACAUACAUAAAAAUUCAGAUUUUAGAUGCGCAUCGAUUCUAAGAGAUGAUUUUACAUGAUUCCUCUUAACCUGAUAUUGUUAAUUUUUAAUUGAUUCCGUGUUAAACCGUGGGUGAUCAGAAUCGGGUCUUUUUCUUAAUUGUAGGCCUUGAUGGUUCCUAUCGAAGCAUUGAUUCGUCGCAGUUGAAGGUGUUUUAGAUUUGUUUGGUCAUUGUACCUGGCUAUUUGGGGCUUUUGGCAUUUCUGCUCUCUUAAUACAAUGAUAUGUAGAUCUCCUACAUAUCAUUGAAAUAAGAUAUAGUUAACUGGCCAUGAUCAUUUGAUUGAAUUCUAUUUAAGUUUGUCACCAACUCACCAUUCUGUGAUUCUGUCUUCCUUAUCACUUACAAAUACUAUAGAACAGAUCUUAAGAGUCAAGCUAAAUCAAGGUCCAACUUAUUUUGGGUCUUUAGAUUUUA